rnacentral:rRNA from 1 species
UACGUAGGGUGCAAGCGUUGUCCGGAAUUAUUGGGCGUAAAGAGCUCGUAGGCGGUUUGUCGCGUCUGCUGUGAAAACGGGGGGCUCAACCCCCAGCCUGCAGUGGGUACGGGCAGACUAGAGUGCGGUAGGGGAGAUUGGAAUUCCUGGUGUAGCGGUGGAAUGCGCAGAUAUCAGGAGGAACACCGAUGGCGAAGGCAGAUGCCUGGGCCGUAACUGACGCUGAGGAGCGAAAGCAUGGGGAGCGAACCGG